UAUAUGUGUGUGUGUGUGUGUGUGUGUGUGUGUACAUGUACGUGUACACACACCCACACACAUACGUGUG
rnacentral:miRNA from 1 species